AGUUUGAUCCUGGUUCAGGACGAACCCUGGCGGCCGUGCUUAACACAUCCAAGUCGACGGAAAGGCCCCCAGCUUGCUUGGGUACUCGAGUGGCGAACGGGUGAGUAACACGGGGGUGAUCUGCCCUGCACUUCGGGAUAAGCCUUGGAAAACUGGUUUUAUUACCAGAUAGGACCCUCCUUUAGUGUGGGGGGUGGAAAGAUUUUUCGGUGUGGGAUGAGCCCGCGGCCUAUCAGCUUGUUGGUGGGGUAAUGGCCUACCAAGGCGUCGACGGGUAGCCGGCCUGAGAGGGUGGACGGCCACAUUGGGACUGAGAUACGGCCCAGACUCCUACGGGAGGCAGCAGUGGGGAAUAUUGCACAAUGGGCGGAAGCCUGAUGCAGCGACGCCGCGUGGGGGAUGACGGCCUUCGGGUUGUAAAGCUCUGUCCUUGGUGAAGAUAAUGACGGUAGCCAAGGAGGAAGCCCCGGCUAACUACGUGCCAGCAGCCGCGGUAAUACGUAGGGGGCGAGCGUUGUCCGGAAUUAUUGGGCGUAAAGGGUACGUAGGCGGUUUUUAAGUCAGCAGUUAAAGCGCGGGGCUCAACCCCGUAAAGCUGUUGAAACUGGAGAACUUGAGAGAUGGAGAGGAAAGUGGAAUUCCUAGUGUAGCGGUGAAAUGCGUAGAUAUUAGGAGGAAUACCGGUGGCGAAGGCGACUUUCUGGACAUCAACUGACGCUGAGGUACGAAAGCGUGGGGAGCAAACAGGAUUAGAUACCCUGGUAGUCCACGCCGUAAACGAUGAGUGCUAGGUGUCGGGGGUCAAACCUCGGUGCCGUCGUAACACAGUAA
rnacentral:rRNA from 1 species